rnacentral:SRP_RNA from 2 species
UCUAUGGGGCUUGUGCAAGGAGAGCCUGUGAACCAUGUCAGGCCUUGAUUGGAGCAGCAUUAAGCGGUCACUCUCUUGUGCCACGAGGAAACCUAUAGGGCUG